AGAAUUCUCUCUUCCCAGUGUCCACUCAAGGGACAGAAUUCUGUACCUUAGGCCAGAAUUUCCUCCAGUUCUUUCCAUCCCUUGGGCAACCUACAUAUCUGUGGCCUAUUCUAGGGGACUGGAAGUGACAGCUGAGACCUGCUUAGUGACGUGACAUCAUGGGAAUUUGAGAGCACAGGCUUUGAGGCUGGCAUGGUGAUAGUAAUUACUGGCCUCAGCAUGACGGGGAGGGUGACUGAGAUAAGCGCCUGGAAAGAGGCUGGCAGGGUGCCGGGCACUUAGAAGGCACCCGGUGUGGUGGAGAUGGUUGGCCUUGUGGAUUGUCCUGUAGUCUGUUAAUUCCUAGGACUGGAAUACUAAUUUUAUGGUUGGGGGAUACUUGAUAGAACUUGUUUCUGCAGGAUGAGAAGGAAAAUGCUCUGCAAAUUUGCAGAGCACUGACUAUAAAAAUUGAGACCAGAGAACUUACUAUAAGCUGGGUACCCUGGGAGGCACUGACAUAUAUCAUCUCACAAUCUUUGCAAACAACUCUAGGGAACGGGACACCCCUGUUACAGAUGAGGAGGCUGAGGAUCAGAGAUGAGCUUGCUCAAGGUCGCUUAGCUAGUAAGUGGUAGAAUUGGGCUUCUGAUCAUUUCUUUUGCUUAAAGAUUUCUUUGAUGUGGGACUAGUUCCUUCCUCUCUGCUAUAUCAUUUCUUUUUCUUUUUCUUUCUUUUUUGUAAUUUUUUUUUUUUUUUGAGAUGUGGUCUUGCUCUGUUGCCCAGGCUGGAAUGCAGUGGCACAAUCACGGCUCACUGCAGCCUCGACCAGCCAGGCUCAAGUGGUCCCCCCACCCCAGCUUCCCAAGUACCUGGGACUACAGGUGCACACCACCAUGUUCAGCUAAUUUUUAAAUUUUUUGUAGAGAAACGGUCUUGUCAUGUUUCCCAGGCUGGUCUUGAACUCUGGGGCGCAAGCAAUCCUCUCUCCUGGGUCUCUCAAAGUGCUGGGAUUACAGGCAUGAAGCACUGUGCCCAGCCUCCUCCAUGUCUUUCUUUCUUUUUUUUUUUUUUUUUUUUUUUUUUUUUUGAGACAGAGUCUUGCUCUGCCACCCAGGCUGGAAUGCAGUGGCGCGAUCUCAGCUCACUGCAGCCUCCGCCUUCCGGGUACAAGUGAUUCUCCUGUCUCAGCCCCCCGAGCAGCUGGGAAUAUAGGUGCCCACCAUCAUGCCCGGCUAAUUUUUGUAUUUUUAGUAGAGACAGGGUUUUGCCAUAUUGGCCAGGCUGGUCUCGAACUCCUGACCUUAGGCGAUCUGCCUGUCUCGUCCUCCCAAAGUGCUGGGAUUACAGGCAUGAGCCACUGCACCUGGCCCCUCCAUGUUUUUCAAGUCUGCUCACAUGAUCCUUCUCAUUAAGGCCUCUGCUGUCCAUCCCAUCCAAGAUUGCAAACCUCUCCUUCCCCCUCCAAACUACCUUGCUCUUGUUCAUUCUAUUUUGAUAGUGCAUCUUGCCUUUUAUUUUAGUUGAUUUUUAUUUUUUGUGGCGGGGCAGAGUCUCACUCUGCUGCCCAGGUGGAGUGCAGUGGCAUGAUCUCAGCUCACUUCAACCUCUGCCUCCUGGGUUCAAGAGAUUCUUGUGCCUCAGCCUCCUGAGUAGCUGGGAUUACAAGCUUGCACCACCAUGCCUGGCUAAUUUUUGUAUUUUUAGGGGAGGCGGGGUUUCACCAUGUUGGCCAGGCUGGUCUCAAACUCUUGGCCUCAAGUGAUCCACCUGCCUCGGCCUCCCAAAGUGCUGGGAUUACAGGCGUGGGCCACUGCGCCCGGCUACAUCUUGCCUUUUAACAAGCCAUGGAAUUCCCUUACUUAUGAUGCUUGUGCUUGAUUAUAUUUCUCUUUAUAGUAAAAUGUAAGCUCCAUUAGUGUUUAAAAAGUAUUUAUCUUUAUUUAAACAUUUUAAUCGAUACAUAAUAUUUGUAUAUAUUUGUACAAAUGUGUACAAAUAUUUAUGGGGCACAUGUGAUAUUUUGAUACAUCCAUACAACAUGUAAUGAUCAAGUCAGGGUAUUUAGGCAUGGGCAUUUUUGUGGAUUUUCAAAAUAGUCAUGGGACUGGGCAUGGUGGCUCAUAUCUGUGAUCCCAGCACUUCUGGAGACUGAGGUGGGAGAAUUGCUUGAGCCCAGGAGUUUGAGACUAGCCUGGGCAACAUAGAGAGACCUCACCUCUACUUAAAAUUUAAAAAUUAGCUGAGCAUGGUGGUGCACACCUGUAGUCCCAGCUACUCGGGAGGCUGAGGUGGGAGGAUCACUGGAGCCCAGGAGGUCGAGGCUGAGGUGAGUUGUAAUCAUACCACUGCCCCUCCAGACUGGAUGACACAGCAAGACCCUGUCUCAAUUAAAAACAAAAACAAAAAACAAAACUCCAACCCAAAACCAAAUGAAAGACAAAACAGUCGUGGGUUAAAUGAACACAUCAACUUCCCACUCCAAGUUGAGAGCUCCUUUUAUUACACCUAAAAGUUUUUCUGGACCAGGCAUGGUGGCUCACAUCUGAAAUCCCAGUACUUUGGGAGGCUGGGGUGGACGGAUCACUUGAGGUGAUGAGUUCGAGACCAGCCUGGCCAACAUGGUGAAACCCCACCUGUACUAAAAAUACAAAAUUAGCCUGGCAUGGUGGUGCAUGCCUGUAAUCCCAGCUACUUGGGAGGCUGAGGCAGGAGAAUCACUUGAAUCUGGGAGGUGGAGGUUGCAGUGAGCUGAGAUUGUGCCACUGCACUCUGGCCUGGGAGACAGAGUGAGACUCCGUCUCAAAUAAAAUUUUAAAAAUGUUUUUCUGAACACGACUUCCUGUGUCUUUUGAAUAGGGAUGGAUUACAUUAUCUCAGCCAACAUCUCAGGCCUUCUCAGAAGGUCAAGCACAGUAAUGGAUGUAAUAGCAUCAUGUCUAACAAAGUGUUAGGCCAGUGAACGUGAGGGUGCUGGCUGUUCUUCCUUUCCCUGAUCCCAGGGCUGGGCACCUCCCUGCUUUGCCUCCUGUUUGUCUAAUCAGUGUGUUCCCCUGGCUGGUUUUCAUCUCCUUUUCCAUAGCUUUCCCCUUCCCACGCCAGGGAUGCCACGUGGCUGCUCCAUCAUUUAUAGUGACGGCCAAAUAAUUGAAUUGUUAUUGGUUUGGAGCGGGGUGAGGGAGGGGGAGAGAUUUUUGCUAAAUUGUUUCACUUUAGAUAAUGUUCAUCUCCUGCUCUGUUGUGAUUUAUUUCUGCUGUUGGCAGUCUUGCUUUCUGGAAAUUAAUUCUCUGAUUGGAAUGGAAAGGAAAGUUGGUGGUGGCAGGGUGUGUGGUGUGGGGAUUCCUUUUGGACGUAAGAUCUGGAUGAAGAGCUGGUCUGAGUUUCUCUGGGAGUGGCUGGAGGGAGGAGAGAAUUUGGGUGUUGAGAAUCUCGGGGUGCCUAGUAUGUGCUCCUCACUUUAUUUGAGUGGCACAUUGUAUUAUAAUCUCUUGAAUCCGGUGGGCCUUAGGCUCCGGUCAUCUGCUGUUUAUAUGGGCACACUCACUUCCCAGAUCUCCUCUGGAAGACCCUCAUAUCCACAUUUUGCAGAUGGGAAAAUUGAGGCUCAGACUGAUGCAUGUCAUUGUACCAGGUAUCUACUGCUCUGUAACAAACCACCCCAAACUUAGUGGCCUAGGAACAACUGUUUUAUUAUGUUCACAGAUUCUGUGGGUCAGGCAUUUAGGAAUGAAACAGUGGGAAUAGCUUGUUUCUACUCUGUGAUGUCUGGGCCUCAGGUGGGAAGACUUGAAUGACUGGGCGUGUUUUGAAUAGCUCAGAGCCUGAGCCAUCUGAAGCCUCUUUUACUCAUAUGUCUGGAACUGAGGCUGGAUGACUCAAAGGCAGGCCUCAGCUGGGACAGUUGAUUGGAGGACCUCCACAUGGCCUCUUCUUGCAUCUUGGGAUUCUUCAAGUCAUGGUGACCAAAUUCUAAGACGUUCUUGAGAUUGAACACAAGAGAACAUGUGUUCUGGGAGAACCAAGUGGAAGCUGAAUGGUCUUUUUCGACCUGGCCUUAGAGUCAGGCAGCAUCACUUGCUAGAGCAGAAUGCAGGCCUAAAAUCUGACCAGAGAAUUCAGUGGAGACAGAGAGCAAGAGCACGUCUGGAGAAAAGUGCCCCACUCCCCAACCCUGCCAGAGGAUGCUUAUUGAAGAGGCCACACCAUGGGUUCCGAAACAAGGUCACUCAGUAAAAAAGAGCCCAGUGGAGGAUCCCUGGAGGAGCAAAUAGAAGAAACCCAAAAGGGACUUGAAAGCGGGUCCCCUCCCUCACCUGGAUUCCCAGUCCGAAGAGGAGGAAGCAUCCGCCCUCCUUCCCUCCUUCUGACCCACCCAGCCACCCACCCAAGGUGCCAUUAAAGUUAAUUG
rnacentral:lncRNA from 1 species